rnacentral:rRNA from 1 species
GAUGAACGCUGACAGAAUGCUUAACACAUCAGCAAUUGAUUGGUGGCGGACGGGUGAGUAACGCGUAAAGAACUUGCCUCACGGGUAGGGACAACAUUUGGAAACGAAUGCUAAUACCUAAUACUGUGAGAGAGCUUUGCGUCCCAUUCGCUUGUUGGAGAGGUAAUGGCUCACCAAGGCGAUGAUGGAUAGCCGGCCUGAGAGGGUGAUCGGCAACAAGCGGACAGAGACACGGCCCUUACUCCUACGGGAGGCAGCAGUGAGGAAUAUUGGACGAUGGACCAAAGUGUGAUCCAGCAUUUCGGUAUGAACGAUGAAGUUUUCGGAAUGUAAAGUGCUUUCAGUUGGGAAACGGUACCAACACAAAAAGUGACGGCUGAAUACGUGCCAGCGGCCGCGGUAAUAC